UUAAUCCCUUGACACCAUUUGCGAGUAUGGUCUCGAGGAAACGAUGAUAGUCCGUCGGAAGGGGACGAUAAAUGGCUGACCCGUGUUAAGAGAGAGCCAUAUCUCUUGCACGUUAAAGACACCCUUGUAGAUUUCGAAAAAGAGCAGGCUAAUGCCGCUACAAGGCAGCACUCGCACCCGCAAAGUGGAAAGGGAUUAAUAUAAGUUGCAAAACUUGUUUCCCAAUCCACUAUAAAUAAAUAUGUUUAAACUAAACUUAAUCAGAGGGAAACACAU
rnacentral:lncRNA from 1 species